rnacentral:rRNA from 1 species
GCUCAGGAUGAACGCUGGCGGCGUGCCUAAUACAUGCAAGUCGAACGAGUUCUGAUUAUUGAAAGGUGCUUGCAUCUUGAUUUAAUUUUGAACGAGUGGCGGACGGGUGAGUAACACGUGGGUAACCUGCCCUUAAGUGGGGGAUAACAUUUGGAAACAGAUGCUAAUACCGCAUAAAUCCAAGAACCGCAUGGUUCUUGGCUGAAAGAUGGCGUAAGCUAUCGCUUUUGGAUGGACCCGCGGCGUAUUAGCUAGUUGGUGAGGUAACGGCUCACCAAGGCAAUGAUACGUAGCCGAACUGAGAGGUUGAUCGGCCACAUUGGGACUGAGACACGGCCCAAACUCCUACGGGAGGCAGCAGUAGGGAAUCUUCCACAAUGGACGCAAGUCUGAUGGAGCAACGCCGCGUGAGUGAAGAAGGCUUUCGGGUCGUAAAACUCUGUUGUUGGAGAAGAAUGGUCGGCAGAGUAACUGUUGUCGGCGUGACGGUAUCCAACCAGAAAGCCACGGCUAACUACGUGCCAGCAGCCGCGGUAAUACGUAGGUGGCAAGCGUUAUCCGGAUUUAUUGGGCGUAAAGCGAGCGCAGGCGGUUUUUUAAGUCUGAUGUGAAAGCCCUCGGCUUAACCGAGGAAGUGCAUCGGAAACUGGGAAACUUGAGUGCAGAAGAGGACAGUGGAACUCCAUGUGUAGCGGUGAAAUGCGUAGAUAUAUGGAAGAACACCAGUGGCGAAGGCGGCUGUCUGGUCUGUAACUGACGCUGAG